CCCCAGAAUUCCCAGGUGUUUCUAUUCGGUGAUCAGUACCGAACACAGAGGACUCACCAUGGAGUCUGGGCUGACAUGGGUUUUCCUUGUUGCUAUUUUAAAAGGUGUCCAGUGUGAGGUGCAGCUGGUGGAGUCUGGGGGAGGCUUGGUCCAGCCUGGGGGGUCCCUGAGACUCUCCUGUGCAGCCUCUGGAUUCACCUUCAGUAGCUACUGGAUGAGCUGGGUCCGCCAGGCUCCAGGGAAGGGGUUGGAGUGGGUUGGCUUUAUUAAAAACAAAGCUGAUGGUGGGACAACAGACUACGCUGCGUCUGUGAAAGGCAGAUUCACCAUCUCAAGAGAUGAUUCAAAGAACACACUGUAUCUGCAAAUGAACAGCCUGAAAACCGAGGACACGGCCAUAUAUUACUGUGCUAGAGACACAGUCACCUUGAAGGAGUCUGGUCCUGCACUGGUGAAACCCACACAGACCCUCACACUGACCUGCACCUUCUCUGGGUUCUCACUCAGCACUUCUGGAAUAGGUGUGGGCUGGAUCCGUCAGCCCCUAAGGAAGGCCCUGGAGUGGCUUGCACACAUUUAUUGGACUGAUAGUAAAUACUACAGCUCAUCUUUGAAGAGCAGGCUCACCAUCUCCAAGGAUACCUCCAAGAGCCAAGUGGUUCUAACAAUGACCAACAUGGACCCUGUGGACACAGUCACAUAUUACUGUGCACGGAUACCACAGAGAUACAGCCCAGGGCACCUCCUGUACAAGAACCCAGGCUGCUUCUCAGUGGUGCUCCCUCCCCACCCCUGCAGAACAGGAUAG